GAUGAAGAACGUAGUGAAAUGCGAUACGUAAUGUGAAUUGCAGAAUUCAGUGAAUCAUCGAGUCUUUGAACGCACAUUGCGCCCCCUGGUAUUCCGGGGGGCAUGCCUGUCCGAGCGUCAUUGCUGCCCUCAAGCACGGCUUGUGUGUUGGGCCUCCGUCCUCCUCCCGGGGGACGGGCCCGAAAGGCAGCGGCGGCACCGCGUCCGGUCCUCGAGCGUAUGGGGCUUCGUCACCCGCUCUUGUNNNNNCGGCCGGCGCUUGCCGACACAUCAAUCUUUUUUCCAGGUUGACCUCGGAUCAGGUAGGGAUACCCGCUGAACUUAAGCAUAUCAAUAAGCGGAGGA
rnacentral:misc_RNA from 1 species